rnacentral:rRNA from 1 species
UACGUAGGGUGCGAGCGUUGUCCGGAAUUAUUGGGCGUAAAGAGCUCGUAGGCGGUGUGUCGCGUCGGUCGUGAAAACUUGGGGCUUAACCCUGAGCUUGCGGUCGAUACGGGCAUCACUGGAGUUCGGCAGGGGAGACUGGAAUUCCUGGUGUAGCGGUGAAAUGCGCAGAUAUCAGGAGGAACACCGGUGGCGAAGGCGGUUCUCUGGGCAUUACCUGACGCUGAGGAGCGAAAGUGUGGGGAGCGAACAGG